AUUGAACGCUGGCGGCAGGCCUAACACAUGCAAGUCGAGAGAGCGGCGGACGGGUGAGAAAUGUAUGGGGACUGCCCGAUAGAGGGGGAUAACUACUGGAAACGGUAGCUAAUACUGCAUACUAUCGGAUAACCCAUAUGGGAUUAGCUAGUAGGUGAGGUAAUGGCCCACCUAGGCGACGAUCCCUAGCUGGUAUGAGAGGAUGAUCAGCCACCCUGUGACUGAAACACGGCCACUACUCCUUCGGAGGCAGCAGUGGGGAAUAUGGCACAAUUGGCGCAAGCCUGAUGCAGCCAUGCCGCGUGUAUGAAGAAGGAACUAGGGUUGGAAAGUACUUUCAGUCAGGAGGCGUUACCGACAGAAAUAGCACCGGCAAACUCCGUACCAGCAUCAGCGGUAUUAC
rnacentral:rRNA from 1 species